CUCUGGUGUCGUCUGCUAGCUGAGGACGUCUGGUGCUUCCUUGUCAGAUACGGAUCAGCAGACUUGUGCAGGGAUCAGGUGAACUUUCUAGUGGAGCUGAUGAAACAGUCGCCUCCAGCAUUCCAACCCCCGUCCCCGCUCCUCUCACUGACUGUCCGCUUGAUUAAAUGUCUGGCUCCGGAGCAUCAGGCCGAGCUGACACAGAGCCUGGGGGCCUCUGAUGACCCGGUCUCCCUCAGGGUCCUUGCCAGCUGUGUGCAGGGAUUCUCUGACCCCGGCCUCUGCCAAGGGGUCAUCCACUCCGUGUCCGAAAUCUGUUCCUGGUUACUACGGGAGAUAACGACCACAGAGGAAUACACACAGGAAGAUCUACAUAGACUGGUCCUGUGCUUGUCCUGCCUCUGUGAGCUGCUGGGUCAAAAUGACACGAUCCCAUUGGCUGUCCAACCCCAUGUGACCUCCUCCAUCACUGAUACCAUUGGUCGGCUGUGGAAGGGGAUUGUGGCGUCUGAUUGGCUGAACACUUCACUUUCAUUGCAGUGUCUUGGGAAGUUAAUUCUAUUGAGCUCAUACCUGCUGCUUUCUCUUGAUAAUGAUGUCCUGGACAAGAUUUUGACAGGAAUGAGUUCCUGCGUUCAACAAGAGAGCUCUGUUCAUCUACAUCUAACCCUUGUCUACUUUCUGAGGUCAUUUGGAAAAGUCAGACUGCCAGCAUCACCAGAGCAACCUCAGAUGUUGAAAAGAUUAUCUGAUCUAUUUGUGGCAACCUUGACCUCAUCUGACCUAUUUAUCUACCACCACGGGUUGUCUGCCUUUACCAAGUUUGCAGAAGAAACCCUGCAUGAAGCUGUGGUCCCCAGUUGUAUAGAGGAUCAGCCCGGGCUUCAGGACUGUGUGGUGCAGUUUAUUAACAAGAGUCCUUACACCUGCUCAGGUGAGUUGAGUAGAUUGGAUUUUCUGAGGAUUGUGCCCCCAUGUAGAAUAGGCGUGGACAUGGACUCAGACUCUGGUGUCAGUGACCACCAAAGUGGGCCCAGUAGUAAGAGACCUAGACUGAUGGAAAAUGUCAAUCAUCGUCAGGUGUCUCAACAGCUGAAGACUUCUGUAGAGGAGUUGGUGGGAGUGUUACGAGAGACUUUGUCUGACCUAGAAGCCUUCACUAAAUCUGAGGACACCGACAUGACUCCACAAACCUGGAACAACCUGGAACAUAUCCAGACGAAGAUCAUGGAUAUCAUGAAAGAGAAAGGCUGAUCUGUAGCCAUUGAUCAUGAGGAACAUCCUUCAUCUCAAUCAAGCUUACAUACAGCAUGAAGGAGACAGGAAUAAACAAGCAUAGAAAUGACUUUAUUUUUAGAAUGUGGAACAUCCUGAAACAUUUCAAAAUAAAAAACAUGAAUAUCAUGAGGAAUACUCUUCAUCUUGACUAAGCUUACAUAUAGCAAGAAGGAGACAGAAAUAAACAAAGCGGACUGUAUUUUUAAAAGUUUAUGUAUGAAAGAUAGAGAAAGAAACUGGAGUAGUAUAUUUAUUUACAUGAGACCAUAUUCAGAUUUAUACUACAGUCAAUGCUUCAUGAUCAGGAAUGGACGAACAUUUCAUGUUUUAUAUUUACACAAUACUCACUGGAAUAUAUCCAUGUUAGGAUUAUAUUGAAUCAUUAAGAUGACAGAAUAUUUUUGUUGAUAUGAUUGAUAAGGUGACGGACGUUUUGUGUCAUUAUCAACGAGUCAGAUACGAUCAGUGAUAUGAAAUUCUCCUGCAUAACUUGUUAUUAGAUUUUUAUUGAUUAAAAUUUAUUUUGUUUUUGAAAUGAAGAAUAAAAAUCUUGUUUAC
rnacentral:misc_RNA from 1 species